rnacentral:piRNA from 1 species
AGAUGAUGGAACUGUAAAACUCUGGG